UACGGGGGGGGCAAGCGUUGUUCGGAAUUACUGGGCGUAAAGGGCUCGUAGGCGGCCAACUAAGUCAGACGUGAAAUCCCUCGGCUUAACUGGGGAACUGCGUCUGAUACUGGAUGGCUUGAGUUUGGGAGAGGGAUGCGGAAUUCCAGGUGUAGCGGUGAAAUGCGUAGAUAUCUGGAGGAACACCGGUGGCGAAGGCGGCACAUCCUGGGCCAUACG
rnacentral:rRNA from 1 species